AACUGAUACUACCUGCGGGAACCUGCGGAGGGAUCAUUACAGAGUUUUCUAAACUCCCAAACCCAUGUGAACUUACCAUUGUUGCCUCGGCGGAGCCUACCCUGUAGCUACCCUAUAAGGUGGUUACCCUGUAGCGCCCCGCCGGUGGAUUUUCAAACUCUUGUUAUUCAUAGUAAUCUGAGAGUCUUAUUUUAAAUAAGUCAAAACUUUUAACAAUGGAUCUCUAGAUCGGAAGAGCAC
rnacentral:misc_RNA from 1 species